UAGGAAAGCAGCCGCAAUGGACCUUCUCGAUUUCUUUGAUGAAUUUCGUGGAAGUAACAAAGAAAAUUGGUUGUUUAUCUGUACCAAAUUGCUUGCAAAUAACGUAAAUCUCAUAUUAUAAAAAAGGCCACAGAGAUCUUAGUUUCUACUUGUGUUUUCAAUUUCCCAAUUUUAUCUCUCUACUAAUUCCUUAUACCACACAGUUAAACAAUGGCUUCCUCCUCUGUUCCAUCUUCACCUCGACCUCGAUACACAUACGAUGUGUUCUUGAGCUAUAGAGGCGAAGACACUCGCGAUAACUUCGUCAGUCAUCUCUACACUGCGUUGGCUCAGAAGGGGAUUCACACCUUCAAAGAUGAUGAAAAGCUCGAGAGAGGAAAAGCGAUUUCGCCAGAGCUCCAGAGGGCUAUUCGAGAAUCGAGGUUUUCAAUUGUGGUUUUAUCGAAGAAUUACGCUUCUUCGAGAUGGUGUUUGGAUGAACUCGUGGAGGCACUUGAAUGCAGCAACACAACAGUUUAUCCGAUAUUCUAUCAUGUGGAUCCAUCGGAAGUGAGAAGGCAAAGAGGGAGCUUUGGGGAGGGAUUUGAUGAAUUGGUUUCCAAACAGGGAGUAUUGGGGAUGGAGAAUGUUCAAAAGUGGAGGAAUGCUUUGGAGCAAGUUGCUAAUUUAUCAGGAUCGCCUUACCCCAGCGAUACCAGGUCUGAAGCAAUGUUCAUUCAAGAAUUUGUUGGGAUACUUUUUAGAAAAUUAAAUCAAACAUAUGAAUAUUCAAGCGUUGUCAGAGACCUAGUUGGGAUGGAUUCUCGUAUGCAGAAAGUGAUUGAAUUGCUAGGUUUAGGGAUGGAUGAUGCUCGUGUUGUAGGUAUUUGGGGAAUGGGUGGAAUAGGUAAGACUACUAUUUCCAGAGCUGUUUAUGACUCUAUCUCUUGCCAAUUUGAAGGUUACAGCUUUAUUGAGAAUGUUAGAGAAGUUUCAAAAAAUUGUGGUUUAAAAACUUUGCAAGAAAAACUCAUUUAUGAAAUCUUAAUGGAAAAGGAUUUGAAAGUAGGAAGUGAUGGUCAUGCAGUACAUAUGAUAAGGAACAUGGUAUGUCGUAAAAAAGUUCUUAUCGUGCUUGAUGAUGUGGAUGAAUCAACCAAACUCGAAAAAUUGGUAGGAGAGCAAGAUUGGUACAGUUUUGGAAGUAGAAUCAUUGUAACGACUCGAAAUCAACAAGUGUUAACUAGAUAUGGCAUAAAACAUAUCUAUGAGGUUGAGCAAUUAAGAGAAGAUGAAGCUAUAGAACUCUUUGAAUCGAAAGCCUUCAGGAAACACCAACAAAUGAGAGGCUAUGGAACGCUUGUAUGUCGUGCAGUAGAGUAUGCUAAAGGAGUUCCUUUAGCUCUCGAAGUUUUGGGUUCUUUUCUUUGUGGUCAAAGCAAAGAUGAAUGGGAAAAUUCAUUAAACAAACUAAAAGGAAGCCAUCUCGCAGAAGUUCAUCAAGUAAUUAGAAUAAGUUACGAUGCAUUGGAUUGGCAAGAGCAGCAAAUAUUCUUAGAUAUUGCAUGUUUUUUCAAUGGGAAGGACAAAAAUGAGGUUAUAAAAAUACUAGAAAGUUCUGGCUUCCACCCAAUUAUUGGAAUACAUAUUCUUGUUCAAAAGUCUCUUGUCACUAUCUCAGACAAUAAGCUGUUGAUGCAUGAUUUGAUACAAGAACUAGGGUGGUACAUUGUUUUCCAGCAAUCACCUAAAGAGCCUGGAAAGCGCACUAGGUUAUGGCUUGAUGAAGAUAUAAAACAUGUAUUGAUGGACAAUACGGGAACAAACGAAGUGGAAGGCAUAGUUAUGCAGUAUAGUGACCUACGAUGUCUAGAUCCAAAGGACAUUCAGUUUCUAAAACAAUUGAAGUUGAGGCCUAAAGCUUUUGCAAAGAUGUCAAACUUGAGGAUUCUCAAAAUUUGUUGUAUGCACCUCUCAGAAGAGCUCAAAUAUCUUUCUAACAAGUUAAGGUAUCUUGAAUGGUUAGGAUACCCUAUGAAAUACAUGCCUUCAACAUUUCAACCAGAGCAUCUUGUUGAACUUCACUUAACCUAUAGCAGCAUUGAACAACUUUGGGAGGGAACAAUGCAUCUGGAUGAGUUAAGGAUCAUGGAUCUUAGUCACUCGACAUAUCUAACGAAGAGCCCAGACUUCACAAGGGUCCCAAAUCUUGAAAGACUGAUUCUUGAAGGCUGUAUAGGCUUGGUUAAUCUUCAUCCAUCCAUUGGAGUUCUCAGAAGGCUUAUUUGUUUGAACUUGAAGGACUGCAAAAGUCUCAAGAGUCUUCCAUGUGGCAUUCAAUUGGAAUCUCUUGAAGUUUUUAUUGCCUCUGGGUGCUCAAAGCUUGAUAACGUUUUGGUCAGCUUGGGAUAUAUGAAUUGUUUAUCAAAGCUUUGUUUAGAUGGGACUGGUGUCAGUGAACUUCCACCUUCAGUUGGACAUCUUACCAAUCUUGGUUUGAUUAGUCUGAGCAAUUGUAAAAACUUGAGAAGUAUUCCAGACAGCAUUUGUCAGUUGAAAGAUCUUAGAAAUUUAAAUCUUUCUGGUUGCUCCAAACUUGACAAAUUGCCGCAAGACUUGGGUGCUUUGGAUUGUUUAUAUGAGCUUCAUGCAGAUUGGACUGCAAUUAGACAACUCCCAUCCUCCUUUGGACUUUUGAAGAAGCUUGGAAUACUAACGCUAAAAGGGUGUAAAGGAAUAUCAUCUAAUUCAUGGAGUUUUUUCUUCUUGCCUUCCUUUUUACGAAGAGAGAGAGAUAAUUCCAUGGCUUCUGAACUAGAAGCUUUGUCGGGGUUAAAGUCUUUAUGGAAACUAGAUCUCAGUUACUGUAAUUUAAAAUCUAUCCCCACAGCCAUUUGUCACAUCGACUCCUUGGUAUUUUUGGAUCUAAGCGGAAACAAUAUGGAAAGUUUACCUGCAAGCAUGAAUCAACUUUCAAGGCUGUCGGGCUUGGUUUUGAAUGGUUGCAAGAAGCUUCAAGAAUUGCCAGAGAUUUCAUCUGAAAUACAUGGCCUAUCUGCUGAUGAUUGCCCAUCAUUAAGAACAAAAUGGAUUCCAAACAAAUGCAAUACUUUUGGCGGGCUGUCCUUCAACAUCCUGACAGAAAAAUUUCUUUCAAAUAAAUUUCAGAGAAAUUUUCGUGCAAUGAACUGUUAUUUUGACGUUGUUUUACCUGGGAGAGAGAUUCCAAAGUGGUUCAGCUAUCAAAGUGACGGGUCUUCGAUAUCUUGUCAGUUGCCUCCACAUUGGUUUAACAACAGGUUCUUGGGAUUUGCUUACGCUGCUGUUGGAUUCAAAGAGGAUAAUUCCGACUAUUGUUAUAUUAAAAUGAGCUUCAAGUGCCACGUUACUCAGAGGAUCAUCGAAUGGGGUGAACCCAUUCCAACUGUGAAAUUUGGAAAUAUGGUGGUUAGGUGUGUCCCACGAGGUGCAUUUUCGGGAAUCACGGAAGAUGAUAUGGAGCAAUUAAAUGAGGAGGGAUUUGAAUUGAACAUUUAUUUUUAUAAACUAAUUCGAUAUUCUUCAAUUCGAGAAAAUGAAAAACUGGGAGUAGAGGUCUACGAGCCAGUAUACGAAGUAGAGAUUGAGAAGGUCGGUGUCCACGUCUUUUACAAGGAAGCUGAAGAACAAGCAUCGAGUAGUAGUAUUAGCGCUACUACAUCAAAGAGAAGACGCGACGACGACCUCAACGACAAUCACUACAAUGCAGCAGCAGCAGCACUCAGUGGAAGUCCUGGAAUUGAUGAUCAAGAGGACCACCUCAACAGCGAAAGGCUUAGUUGCAAGCGACUUUGCCCAGAAAAAAUGUCCUCUUCAAGUAGUAUGGGUGGUGGGGAAGCACAAAUCUUGAGGUUCAUCAGCAAGAAAUGUCGUUGUGGGAAAAAAGCAGCCAUUAGAGUGGUAGAGUUCGAGAAUCCUUCAAAAGGUAGGUUGUACUAUGUAUGUGAAAAGACAAGUUUUGGGGGUUGUGAUUUUUGGGCUUGGUGCAACCCAGUUGAAUUUGCUCUCACCUAUAGAAGAGAUGAGACUAAUGAGAAGCCAGGAGUUGAGGAAGGUGAGCCUAUCUGCACUUUAAUGGAAGACUCAUGAAGCUGAAAAUGAAGAUGGAGGCACUGAACAUGAUGAUGAAGUUUUCAUUAAUGACAAUCAGGUUGCACUGAUGCUUUCAGGAGUGGGAUCUUGUUCUGUGGAUGCUUUUAGAAUGGUUGCACUGAUGCUUUUAGGACUGGGACCUUCUUAGGUGGAUGUUUUUAGAAUGGCAACCUCUUGAUGGGAAAAGAGACAAGCUAAAAUCUUGAGGACGAAGUGAAAGAGAGAGCACGAAGAGCUGCAGCAGCAUCUCGAGGAUUGAGAGAGCACUCAAGAAGGGGUGCUGGUAAACUUCCCACCUUUAAACUUCUCAAGGCUGUGUCAAACAACGAAAAAUAAACAGUAAAUUCUGAUACUCUAGAUUUUCCAUUGUUAAAUGUAAUUCAUGUACUCAAAAUUUAUUUAUUGAACAUAUACAAUAAAUAUUUAGAUUUUAUGUAAGAUGUGUAAAAUUCAUAUUGAUCACACGACUGUGUAACUGGGAUUUUUAAGUGCAAUGGAAUUAGUAAAUAAUAAAAAAUAUGAAU